CAACAGGGAUUGCCCUAGUAACGGCGAGUGAAGCGGCAACAGCUCAAAUUUGAAAUCUGGCCUCGGCCCGAGUUGUAAUUUGCAGAGGAUGCUUCUGGCGCGGUGCCUUCCGAGUUCCCUGGAACGGGACGCCACAGAGGGUGAGAGCCCCGUAUGGUCGGACACCAAGCCUGUGUGAAGCUCCUUCGACGAGUCGAGUAGUUUGGGAAUGCUGCUCUAAAUGGGAGGUAAAUCUCUUCUAAAGCUAAAUACCGGCCAGAGACCGAUAGCGCACAAGUAGAGUGAUCGAAAGAUGAAAAGCACCUUGAAAAGGGGGUUAAAUAGUACGUGAAAUUGUUGAAAGGGAAGCACUUGUGACCAGACUUGGGCCGGGCGGCUCAUCAGGGGUUCUCCCCUGUGCACUCCGCCCGGCACAGGCCAGCAUCGGUUCUCGUGGGGGGAUAAGACCGUCAGGAACGUAGCACCCUCCGGGGUGUGUUAUAGCCUGGCGGACGAUACCCCCGUGGGGACCGAGGUUCGCGCUCCGCAAGGAUGCUGGCGUAAUGGUCACCAGUGACCCGUCUUGAAACACGGACCAAGGAGUCGUCCAUUAGAGCGAGCGUUUGGGUGUAAAACCCGCACGCGUAAUGAAAGUGAACGCAGGUGAGAGCUUCGGCGCAUCAUCGACCGAUCCUGAUGUUCUCGGAAGGAUUUGAGUAAGAGUUUUAACGGACGGACCCGAAAGACAGUGAACUAUGCUUGUAUAGGGUGAAGCCAGAGGAAACUCUGGUGGAGGCUCGCAGCGGUUCUGACGUGCAAAUCGAUCGUCAAAUAUGAGCAUGGGGGCGAAAGACUAAUCGAAC
rnacentral:rRNA from 2 species